GACGAACGCUGGCGGCGUGCUUAACACAUGCAAGUCGAACGGAGUGGCGAACGGGUGAGUAACACGUGGGUGAUCUGCCUUGCACUUCGGGAUAAGCUUGGGAAACUGGGUCUAAUACCGGAUAGUGCAAGAUGAGCUCGCGGCCGAUCAGAUGGUUGGCGGGGUAAUGGCCUACCAAGGCGUCGACGGGUAGCCGGCCUGAGAGGGUGUACGGCCACAAUGGGACUGAGAUGCGGCCCAGGCUCCUACGGGAGGCAGCAGUGGGGAAUCUUGCACAAUGAGCGGAAGCCUGAUGCAGCGACGCCGGGUGGGUGAUGAAGGCCUUCGGGUUGUAAACUCCUUUCGGCGGGGACGCGGUACCUGUAUAGGAAGCACCGGCUAACUACGUGCCAGCAGCCGCGGUAAUUC
rnacentral:rRNA from 1 species